UACAGAGGUCUCAAGCGUUGUUCGGAUUCAUUGGGCGUAAAGGGUGCGUAGGUGGCUGGGUAAGUCAGGUGUGAAAUCUCGGAGCUCAACUCCGAAACUGCACUUGAUACUGCCUGGCUCGAGUACUGGAGAGGAGAUUGGAAUUUACGGUGUAGCAGUGAAGUGCGUAGAUAUCGUAAGGAAGACCAAUGGCGAAGGCGAAUCUCUGGACAGUUACUGACACUGAGGCACGAAGGCCAGGGGAGCAAACGGG
rnacentral:rRNA from 1 species